rnacentral:rRNA from 1 species
AAAGGGCGCACGGUGGAUGCCUUGGCACUAGGAGCCGAAGAAGGACGGGACUAACACCGAUAUGCUUUGGGGAGCUGUACGUAAGCGUUGAUCCAGAGAUUUCCGAAUGGGGGAACCCACUAUCUUUAGUCGGAUAGUAUCCUUACGUGAAUACAUAGCGUAAGGAAGGCAGACCCAGGGAACUGAAACAUCUAAGUACCUGGAGGAAGAGAAAGAAAAAUCGAUUUCCUGAGUAGCGGCGAGCGAAACGGAAAGAGCCCAAACCAAGAAGCUUGCUUCUUGGGGUUGUAGGACACUCUAUACGGAGUUACAAAAGAAAGUUAUAAAUGAAGCGGUCUGGAAAGGCCCGCCAAAGACGGUAACAGCCCGGUAGUUGAAAUGGCUUUCCCUCCAGAGUGGAUCCUGAGUACGGCGGAACACGUGAAAUUCCGUCGGAAUCCGGGAGGACCAUCUCCCAAGGCUAAAUACUCCCUAGUGACCGAUAGUGAACCAGUACCGUGAGGGAAAGGUGAAAAGCACCCCGGAAGGGGAGUGAAACAGUUCCUGAAACCGUGUGCCUACAAGUAGUUAGAGCCCGUUAAUGGGUGAUAGCGUGCCUUUUGUAGAAUGAACCGGCGAGUUACGAUUUGUUGCAAGGUUAAGCGGAAAAAGCGGAGCCGUAGCGAAAGCGAGUCUGAAUAGGGCGCAUAAGUAACAGGUCGUAGACCCGAAACCAGGUGAUCUACCCAUGUCCAGGAUGAAGGUAAGGUAAUACUUACUGGAGGUCCGAACCCACGCACGUUGAAAAGUGCGGGGAUGAGGUGUGGGUAGCGGAGAAAUUCCAAUCGAACUUGGAGAUAGCUGGUUCUCUCCGAAAUAGCUUUAGGGCUAGCCUCGAGGUAAAGAGUCAUGGAGGUAGAGCACUGUUUGGACUAGGGGCCCUUCUCGGGUUACCGAAUUCAGAUAAACUCCGAAUGCCAUGUACUUAUACUCGGGAGUCAGACUGCGAGUGAUAAGAUCCGUAGUCGAAAGGGAAACAGCCCAGACCACCAGUUAAGGUCCCCAAAUAUAUGUUAAGUGGAAAAGGAUGUGGGGUUGCUUAGACAACCAGGAUGUUGGCUUAGAAGCAGCCACCAUUGAAAGAGUGCGUAAUAGCUCACUGGUCGAGUGACCCCGCGCCGAAAAUGUACCGGGGCUAAACAUAUUACCGAAACUGUGGAUGAACCUCUUCGGAGGUUCGUGGUAGGAGAGCGUUCUAAGGGCGGUGAAGUCAGACCGGAAGGACUGGUGGAGCGCUUAGAAGUGAGAAUGCCGGUAUGAGUAGCGAAAGAAGGGUGAGAAUCCCUUCCACCGAAUAUCUAAGGUUUCCUGAGGAAGGCUCGUCCGCUCAGGGUUAGUCGGGACCUAAGCCGAGGCCGAUAGGCGUAGGCGAUGGACAACAGGUAGAGAUUCCUGUACCAGUGCUAAUUGUUUAACCGAUGGGGUGACACAGAAGGAUAGGGAAUCGCACGAAUGGAAAUGUGCGUCCAAGCAGUGAGUGUGAGAAGUAGGC